GGCUUAGAGUUUGAUCCUGGCUCAGAUUGAACGCUGGCGGUAUGCUUAACACAUGCAAGUCGACCGAUGAGAAAGAGCUUGCUCUUUCGAUUAGUGGCGGACGGGUGCGUAACGCGUAGGAAUCUGCCUAUUAGUGGGGGACAACUUAGGGAAACUUAAGCUAAUNCCGCAUACGCCCUACGGGGGAAAGGAGGGGAUCGCAAGACCUUUCGCUAAUAGAUGAGCCUGCGUAGGAUUAGCUAGUUGGUGGGGUAAGGGCUCACCAAGGCGACGAUCCUUAACUGGUUUGAGAGAAUGAUCAGUCACACUGGAACUGAGACACGGUCCAGACUCCUACGGGAGGCAGCACGUGGGGAAUAUUGGACAAUGGGCGAAAGCCUGAUCCAGCAAUACCGCGUGUGUGAAGAAGGCCUUAGGGUUGUAAAGCACUUUCAAUUGGAAGGAAAAAUUCGUGGCUAA
rnacentral:rRNA from 1 species